rnacentral:pre_miRNA from 1 species
GGCUCGAGCAGUAUUUUUGGGGUCGGAGGAAUUGCGUCGGGUUCUUUGGUGUGGUAGCUGCUGUGAUUCUGCUCUGAAGAGAUGUCAGUUGGCCA